UGGGGAAUUUUGGACAAUGGGCGAAAGCCUGAUCCAGCAAUGCCGCGUGUGUGAAGAAGGCCUUCGGGUUGUAAAGCACUUUUGUCCGGAAAGAAAUCCUCUGGGUUAAUACCUCGGGGGGAUGACGGUACCGGAAGAAUAAGCACCGGCUAACUACGUGCCAGCAGCCGCGGUAAUACGUAGGGUGCAAGCGUUAAUCGGAAUUACUGGGCGUAAAGCGUGCGCAGGCGGUUUUGUAAGACGGAUGUGAAAUCCCCCGGGCUUAACCUUGGAACUGCAUUCGUGACUGCAAGGCUAGAGUAUGGCAGAGGGGGGUAGAAUUCCACGUGUAGCAGUGAAAUGCGUAGAGAUGUGGAGGAAUACCGAUGGCGAAGGCAGCCCCCUGGGCCAAUACUGACGCUCAUGCACGAAAGCGUGGGGAGCAAACAGGAUUAGAUACCCUGGUAGUCCACGCCCUAAACGAUGUCAACUAGUUGUUGGGGAUUCAUUUCCUUAGUAACGUAGCUAACGCGUGAAGUUGACCGCCUGGGGGAGUACGGUCGCAAGAUUAAACUCAAGGAAUUGACGGGGUCAUAGCUGUUUCCU
rnacentral:rRNA from 1 species